ensembl:lncRNA
UGGUUGUGCCUGUGUGCUGCAUCUCCCUCCCAGGGAGCCCAGGUGGGGUGGAAGCCUGAGGGUGAGGGGAGCCCAGGUGGAUAGGGUCUGAUGGUGGAGAGAGCCCAGGGAGUGGGGCGUCUUAAAACCCUUUUCCUCUUUCUAAUCUCUUCAGCCACUCUAAGUGAAGUCACUCUCACUUCUGCCUGUACCACUGUGAUAGCCUCCUGACAACUCUCCCAAUGUCUAGUCUUGCCUCUGAACAAUACUGUGUUGAUCCUCUAAAAUCAACCCACAUCAGAGCCAGAACAAUGGAAGAAGGCAUGGCCCUCGGGUAUUGCUCAAAUUCAGGACAAGAAGAACCUGGAAAGGAUCUCUAGAAGGGGCCCACAGCACUCCAGAACCCCAGUAAUAUUUUUGGCAAAGCCAGCCAGAAGUACUGGGGAUUGAACUCCGGACCUUGCAGUUUUAAGGCAGGGCUUGCGCAGCAGGCG